UUUUAAGAAAGAUUCUUUGACAGAAGUAUUGUGAGCUUUCAUAAUAUCACGAAAUACUUGGGACAAGUCCGAAAUACUGGUUAAAAAUUACUGCGUUAGCAUAUACUGUACAUAAUUAUAUGUAGCAACGGUGCUGCAUCGUUACUUUAUUAGAGUUGUAUGCUAAUACUCAACGCAUUCUUUUCGUAAAUCAUGACAGAACUGAAAAUCACACGUAAAAAUCAAAUCGCAGGUUAAGUACAUUUUUUGCAAGUGCACUACAUUCAUUUUCCAUUCCUAUUCAUGACACGUGUGAAAGAAAAAAGAAAUUGAAAAAUACUGGCUACUGAAUAGAUUUUUACUGAAUCUUGUUGAACGAUGUAGUAUUCAUAUGAAAUCCAUUGUCACCCACGUACGUUCGUACGUCAUGUCGUCAAGUAUUUAUCGACUUCCAAACGGAAAUGUAACAUUAUUAUGAACAUGGGCAAACGUAUAUAAUUUCUGCCAUUAUCUAAGAAAGGUAUUACCAUACUUUUAAUUGUAUUUCAUCUUAAGUGUAACAGCGGCGCUUUUUCAAGGUUCGUGACACAAUAACAAUUCGGUCUACAAGGUUAGGUUUGCCUGUUUAACGGUUCUUGUAAUGUUCUUGUUACAGAGAUGGUAUGUUUUAUACGCAUUUUAUCGUUCGUUUUCUUUUUUACUACUUAUUCUUCAAAAGUAGGUUCUUGUAUAGUGUAUUUCACACAUGCAAUAUGUAUUACAUAAUUCAACGUUGCAGACAUUUCGUCGAUGUUAACACGAACUACCGACCUAUAAUAAGUAGCUAUAUGUAUUAUACACAAACGAAGAUAAAUAUAGUGUCACGAGAAAGGCGAAUAGCUAUAAACAAUUAUCUUCUGAUCCGUAUGAAAUGUAUGCACUUCCCAUUUUCUACACCUGUAAAUUUACAAAUUUAUGAAUUACAUCAGCUUGAUCAUGUGUGGCAUUGAUAGCUGUGUUACUGACUUAAAUGUAGUCAAUUUUUUUCUCUCCAUGGAUUCCCGCAUCACAUGAACAAAAGUACUGCAAAAGUGUUGAAGAGGCAAAUAUCUCUUGUCAAUAGAUUGCACUACGUUGCAGAAACGGAU